GUACUGGUGUUACUGAUUCCUACCUUCUGACGAACCAUCAUGUCAUUAGUUUGGUGUGGUGGGGAAUCAGGACUGUUACUUUGAAAAAAUUAGAGUGUUUAAAGCAGGCUCGCGCUUGAAUACAUUAGCAUGGAAUAAUGAAAUAGGACGUUGAUCCUAUUUUGUUGGUUUCUAGGAUUGACGUAAUGAUUAAUAGGGAUAGUUGGGGGCAUUAGUAUUCAAUUGUCAGAGGUGAAAUUCUUGGAUUUAUUGAAGACUGACUACUGGGAAAGCAUUUGCCAAGGAUGUUUUCAUUAAUCAAGAACGAAAGUUAGGGGAUCGAAGACGAUCAGAUACCGUCGUAGUCUUAACCAUAAACUAUGCCGACUAGGGAUCGGAUGAUGUUAAUUUUUUAAUGACUCAUUCGGC
rnacentral:rRNA from 1 species